GACGGGGGUCCUAGCGUGUUCGGAAUCAUUGGGCGUAAAGCGGGCGUAGGUGGCUAUGUAAGUCAGGAGUGAAAGCCCUGGGCUCAACCCAGGAAGUGCUUUGAAACUGCGUAGCUUGAGUGUGGAAGAGGAUAGUGGAAUUCCUGGUGUAGUGGUGAAAUACGUAGAUAUCAGGAGGAACACCGGCGGCGAAAGGCGGCUAUCUGGUCCAACACUGACACUGAGGCCCGAAAGCGUGGGGAUCCAACAGGAUAGAAACCCCAG
rnacentral:rRNA from 1 species